rnacentral:lncRNA from 1 species
UUGGUAGGAUUUGAUUUCUUUCAUUAUUGUACAGCCCUAUAGUUGGUAGGAUUUGAUACCUCUUUGUACUUUAUAUAUACUUUUGUGAUCAAUACAAGAAUAUUCAUUCUCCCAAAACUCUCUACAGGGGUAAGAUCUGCGUACACACUACCCUCCCCAAACCCCACUAAGUGGGAUUAUACUGGAUUGUUGUUGUUGUUGUUGUUUCUAUAUUUGUCACGCAUUCAACCAACUGUAAUCACCAAAUUUGAUGGUAUACCUAGUGAAUAGUCGUGGAAAGACUAAUUUCUUUAAAAACAUAUAUCCAUGUAAAGAAACCAGUAGUACUUAAUUAAGAACUCAACAGAUUUUGACAAAGAAUUGUGAAGAUUAUGAAAAGCUCUAAUUAAAAGAGUCACAUCAGUCCUGAAUUUGGGUGUUAUUUUCCACAAUAUUUUUGGCAACAUUUGAUUAUAUUGUUGUAUAUGCUGAGCUUAUGCUAUCUGGAUAUGCUUGCGUUAAGCUGAUGUUCCACUUGUAGAUUUCAAAAUCUGAGGUCCCUAAAAAAAUAAAAGAUUCAUUCAUAUUUCAUACAUAGAACCCUAAAGCAUACAGAUCUUAAGAUAAAGUAUAGUAGAAAUAAACAACCAAAUAUACAGAGUGGAAUCUUUAUUUAUCAAUAUUAUUAUAUAUAAAUAGAAUGCUUCCAAAUUUGGGUAGUUGAUAUUGAGAUGAAUUUUAGCAUUUUCUUUUCUAGACUCCUACUGAACUCUAUGGAACCUUUUUCUUCUGAGUCCGGAACCAAAGUAUUAACAACUAAUUGAACUUAAGCGACCAAAAUAGCAACUUAAUAGGGUAACUGACCCAUAGCACAUGAGCUAUAGAUAAAAUUGUUCAAUUUUUUUUACCCUCUAUUUUGGUCGAUUGAGUUCAAUUGGUUCCUACUUUGGUUCUGGACUCCCUUUUUCUCAUCAUGAUCCAUGAUUGUUGUACAAAGAUUCGUGAGGUUUCCAUCAAAGUACUCAUAUAUGGGAGGGAUAAUGGUAUAAAGAAUUGUGAAAAAAAUGUAAAACUCUUAUUAAAAUCGAAACCCUAGUGGGGCCGUUGAUUUUGCACACUAAAAUCGAAACCUUAGCCUUGGCUGAAGAUUAGACGGGAAAGAGAGAGAGAGAGUACCUGAUGAAGUCCCGUAGCCGAUUUUGCCGGCGUCAUUGAGAGAGAGGCGAGGAGAUAUAGAGAGAGAGACAGAGUAGGAGAGAUUGUGAAAAAAAGAAUUAGAAAAUAAGGCUUAGCGGAAAAUAACUUAAAGUUUC